UAAAAUUAUUUUAAAUAAUAUAUUAGAAAUGAAAUGUUAUUCGUUUUUAAAGGUAUCUAGUUCUUUAAGAAAUAAAUUUAAUUUAGAAAUUUUUUAUUAUUUAAUUUAAUAUAUUAAUUAAAUAAUUAUUUAAUUUUAAUAUUUUAUGGGAUAAGCUAUAAAAUAAAAUUUUAUAAAUUAUUAAAUAAAUUAAUAAAUAUAAACUUAAAAAUAGUUAUUAUUAAUAAAAAUGUUAUAAUUUAUUUUUUAUAAAAAUUAUUUAUUUAUAUUUUAAAAUUUUAUUAAAGUAUUUAUUUUAAUAAAAAAAAUAAAAUAAUAAUGAUAAAAUUAGUAUAUUAUAUUGUAGAUAUAAAUUUAAAUGAUAAGUUUUUAUAAAGAACUCGGCAAAAAUUAAUAUUCGCCUGUUUAACAAAAACAUGUCUUUAUGAAUUAUAUUUAAAGUCUAACCUGCCCACUGAAUUAAAUUUAAAUGGCCGCAGUAUUUUGACUGUGCAAAGGUAGCAUAAUCAUUAGUCUUUUAAUUGAAGGCUGGAAUGAAUGGUUGGACGAGAUAUUAACUGUUUCAUAAAAAUUUUUAUUAGAAUUUUAUUUUUUAGUUAAAAAGCUAAAAUUUAUUUAAAAGACGAGAAGACCCUAUAAAUCUUUAUAUUUAGAUUAUUAUAAUUUUUUAGAAAAAUUUUAUUAUUAUAAUUUAUAAUAUUUUAUUGGGGUGAUAUUAAAAUUUAAUAAACUUUUAAUUAUUUUUAUCAUUAAUUUAUGAAUAAAUGAUCCGUUAUUAACGAUUAAAAGAAUAAGUUACUUUAGGGAUAACAGCGUAAUUUUUUUGGAGAGUUCUUAUCGAUAAAAAAGAUUGCGACCUCGAUGUUGGAUUAAGAAAUAAUUUUAGGUGUAGUCGCUUAAAUUUUAAGUCUGU
rnacentral:rRNA from 1 species